UGGGUGAAGUGGAUGAUCCUAUGCUGCCGAGAAAAGCCUCUAGUGAGUGUUGUGGCGGCCCGUACCCUAAACCGACUCAGGUGGUCAGGUAGAGAAUACCAAGGCGAUCGGGUGAACUGUGGUUAAGGAACUCGGCAAAUUGCCCCCGUAACUUCGGGAGAAGGGGGACCUCUGCUGGUGAUGGGCUUUACGUUCUGAGCUGGUGGGGGUCGCAGUGGCCAGGGGGAAGCGACUGUUUACUAAAAACACAGGUCCGUGCGAAGUCGUAAGACGAUGUAUACGGACUGACGCCUGCCCGGUGCCGGAACGUUAAGGGGACCGCUUAGCCAACGCGAGUUGGCGAAGGUGAGAACUUAAGCGCCGGUAAACGGCGGUGGUAACUAUAACCAUCCUAAGGUAGCGAAAUUCCUUGUCGGGUAAGUUCCGACCUGCACGAAUGGCGUAACGACUUCCCCGCUGUCUCAACCACAGACCCGGCGAAAUUGCACUACGAGUAAAGAUGCUCGUUUCGCGCAGCAGGACGGAAAGACCCCGGGACCUUCACUACAGCUUGACAUUGGCGUUUGGAACGUCUUGUGUAGGAUAGGUGGGAGACUGGGAAGCUGUCACGCUAGUGAUGGUGGAGUCAUUGGUGAAAUACCACUCUGGUCGUUUUGAACGUCUAACUCUGGUCCGUGAUCCGGAUCGGGGACAGUGUCUGUUGGUAGUUUAACUGGGGCGGUUGCCUCCUAAAGAGUAACGGAGGCGCCCAAAGGUUCCCUCAGCCUGGUUGGCAAUCAGGUGUUGAGUGUAAGUGCACAAGGGAGCUUGACUGUGAGACUGACAGGUCGAGCAGGAGCGAAAGCUGGGACUAGUGAUCCGGCAUCGGCGUGUGGAAGCGGUGUCGCUCAACGGCUAAAAGGUACCCCGGGGAUAACAGGCUGAUCUUCCCCAAGAGUCCAUAUCGACGGGAUGGUUUGGCACCUCGAUGUCGGCUCGUCGCAUCCUGGGGCUGGAGUAGGUCCCAAGGGUUGGGCUGUUCGCCCAUUAAAGCGGUACGCGAGCUGGGUUUAGAACGUCGCGAGACAGUUCGGUCCCUAUCCGCUGCGCGCGCAGGAGACUUGAAGGGGGCUGUCCCUAGUACGAGAGGACCGGGACGGACGAACCUCUGGUGUGCCAGUUGUACCGCCAGGUGCACGGCUGGUUGGCUACGUUCGGAAGGGAUAACCGCUGAAAGCAUCUAAGCGGGAAGCUCGCCUUGAGAUGAGGUCUCCCACCCCGUGAGGGGGUAAGGCUCCCGGUAGAUCACCGGGUUGAUAGGCCGGAGGUGGAAGCACGGUAACGUGUGGAGCUGACCGGUACUAAUAGGCCGAGGACUUGACCAA
rnacentral:rRNA from 1 species